AGAGUUUGAUCCUGGCCCAGGAUGAACGCUGGCGGCGUGCUUAACACAUGCAAGUCGAACGGGGAUGCCAUCUUUGAAGCGAUUAGCUUGCUAAGAGUGGAAAUGUUGGCAUCUUAGUGGCGGACGGGUGAGUAACGCGUGGGGAACCUGCCCUGUACAGGGGGAUAACACUUAGAAAUAGGUGCUAAUACCGCAUAAGCGCACAGUAUCGCAUGAUACAGUGUGAAAAACUCCGGUGGUACAGGAUGGACCCGCGUCUGAUUAGCUGGUUGGCGGGGUAACGGCCCACCAAGGCGACGAUCAGUAGCCGGCCUGAGAGGGUGAACGGCCACAUUGGGACUGAGACACGGCCCAAACUCCUACGGGAGGCAGCAGUGGGGAAUAUUGGACAAUGGGGGGAACCCUGAUCCAGCGACGCCGCGUGAGUGAAGAAGUAUUUCGGUAUGUAAAGCUCUAUCAGCGGGGAAGAAAAUGACGGUACCUGACUAAGAAGCCCCGGCUAACUACGUGCCAGCAGCCGCGGUAAUACGUAGGGGGCAAGCGUUAUCCGGAUUUACUGGGUGUAAAGGGAGCGUAGACGGUGCAGCAAGUCUGAUGUGAAAGGUCGGGGCCCAACCCCGGGACUGCAUUGGAAACUGUUGAACUGGAGUACAGGAGAGGUAAGCGGAAUUCCUAGUGUAGCGGUGAAAUGCGUAGAUAUUAGGAGGAACACCAGUGGCGAAGGCGGCUUACUGGACUGUAACUGACGUUGAGGCUCGAAAGCGUGGGGAGCAAACAGGAUUAGAUACCCUGGUAGUCCACGCCGUAAAC
rnacentral:rRNA from 1 species